UAGCUGGGAUUACAGGCAUGCACCACCACGCCCGGGUUUGCCCCACAAGAAGAUAAUUCCCUUCCACUUCUGCUGUGUAACUUCCAUGGUGCAUCAUCUGGUCCAUUGGCACCAGCUCAGGAAGCAAGAUUUCAUGCCUUGUGGUGGAGUCUCGCUCUGUCGCACAGGCUGGAGUGCAGUGGACAAUCUCGGCUCACUGCAAGCUCCGCCUCCCGGGUUCACGCCAUUCUCCUGCCUCAGCCUCCUGAGUAGCUGGGACUACAGGCGCCCGCCACCACGCCCAGCUAAUUUUUUGUAUUUUUAGUAGAGACAGGUUUUCACCGUGUUAGUCAGGAUGGUCGCAAUCUCCUGACCUCGUGAUCCACCCGCCUCAGCCUCCCAAAGUGCUGGGAUUACAGGCGUGAGCCACUGCGCCCGGCAAUACAUUCUUUUUAAAAAAAAUUCCUUGGCUUGUUAAGUUAGGUUGUUUGAAAUCUUUCUUUAUUUUAUUUUAUUUUUGAGACAGGUUCUGGCUCUAUCGGCCAGGCUGUAAUGCAGGGACCUGAUCUUGGUUCACUGCAGCCUCAGCCUCCCCGGGGUUUAAGCCAUCCUCCCACAUCAGACUCCUAAGUAGCUGGGACUACAAGCAUGUGUCAGCACAUCUGGCUAAUUUUUGUAUCUGUUGUAGAGAUGGGGUUUCGCCAGAUUGCCCAGACUGGUCUCGAUCUCCUAAGUUCAAGUGAUCUGCCCACCUUCCAAAGUGCUGGGAUUAUAGGUGUGAGCCACUGUGCCCGGCCUUUCUUCUUUUUAAAUGUAGGCAUUUUUCACUAUGAACUUCCUGUUUAAUACUGCUUUUGCUGCAUCCCAUAAGUUUUGACAUGUUGUGUUUUCAUUUUUGUCUCAAGGUAUUUUUAAAUUUCCUUUUUGAUUUCUUUUUUGACAGAGUUCAAGAGUGUGUUGUCUAAUUUUCACAUAUUUAUGAAUUUUCCAGUUUUCCUUCCGCUAUUGAAAGGGAUGGAGGUUGCAGACACAUAGUACUCUGCCACAUAGCUAUAGCUAAUGUCACUCCUCUCAACAUACAGUUUUGAUUUAAGAAAAAUCAUAGUUAACAUUUUAUAUGUUAAAGAAUAUUGAUCUCAGACCAAUAACCAAUAUUAUACUUAGCAAUAAAACAUUAGAAGCAUUUCCACU